rnacentral:rRNA from 1 species
UACAGGGGGGGGCAAGCGUUUGUUCGGAAUUACUGGGCGUAAAGGGCCAGUAGGCGGCCAACUAAGUCCGACGUGAAAUCCCCAGGCUUAACCUGGGAACUGCGUCUGAUACUGGAUGGCUGGAGUUUGGGAGAGGGAUGCGGAAUUCCAGGUGUAGUGGUGAAAUGCGUAGAGAUCGGCAGGAACACCCAGGGGGGAAACCAGUCGACUGGGCAUCUACUGACGCUGAGGUGCGAGAGCGUGGGGAGCGAACCGG